rnacentral:lncRNA from 1 species
ACAUAGUAUCAUAAAGAUCCAAAAGUUAAAUAUUUUUAGAAAAUUUGUACAAGUUUUACUUAUCCAUACAAGCCAGAUCAAGGAUUGAGAUUUUGAAUUUUAUUCAUUAUUCUGUAAGUUACUUUCUGUGUACAGAAAAGAAUUUGGAUAGCUUCUUUUCUUCAGAUGUAUAUUAGUUCAGUGGUCUUUUUUCACUGAGUCCCUUCUUCUUAUGCUCCCUUAGCACAAAUUGCAUAUAAUCUUUGUGGUGAGUCAUAAUGGAGACAGACACAUGCUACUUUUAUUAAUAAUUUACCAAGUACUAUGUUUUACGUAUGUCAUACU